AUUCGAUUAGAGUUUGAUCCUGGCUCAGGAUGAACGCUAGCGGCAGGCUUAAUACAUGCAAGUCGAGGGGCAGCACGGGUAGCAAUACUUGGUGGCGACCGGCGCACGGGUGCGUAACGCGUAUGCAAUCUACCUUCAACAGGGGGAUAACUCUGGGAAACCGGAACUAAUACCCCAUAGAGUUAAGAAAUGGCAUCAUAUUUUAACUAAAGAUUCAUUGGUUGAAGAUGAGCAUGCGUUGGAUUAGAUAGUUGGUGAGGUAACGGCUCACCAAGUCGACGAUCCAUAGGGGAACUGAGAGGUUUAUCCCCCACAUUGGUACUGAGACACGGACCAAACUCCUACGGGAGGCAGCAGUAGGGAAUAUUGGGCAAUGGAAGAGAUUCUGACCCAGCCAUGCCGCGUGCAGGACUACGGCGCUAUGCGUUGUAAACUGCUUUUAUACGGGGGUAACAGGGGCUACGUGUAGUCCUAUGAAAGUACCGUAAGAAUAAGCAUCGGCUAACUCCGUGCCAGCAGCCGCGGUAAUACGGAGGAUGCAAGCGUUAUCCGGAUUUAUUGGGUUUAAAGGGUGCGCAGGCGGAAUAGUAAGUCAGUGGUGAAAUCUCUCAGCUUAACUGGGGAACUGCCAUUGAUACUGCUAAUCUGGAGUACAGACGGCGUAGGCGGAAUAUGACAAGUAGCGGUGAAAUGCGUAGAUAUGUCAUAGAACACCGAUAGGGUAGCCAGCUUACGAGGCUGUAACUGACGCUCAAGCACGAAAGCGUGGGUAUCAAACAGGAUUAGAUACCCUGGUAGUCACGCUGUAAACGAUGAACACUCGUUGUCGGCACGCUGGUGUCGGCGGCUAAGCGAAAGUGAUAAGUGUUCCACCUGGGGAGUACGUUCGCAAGUAUGAAACUCAAAGGAAUUGACGGGGGCCCGCACAAGCGGAGGAGCAUGUGGUUUAAUUCGAUGAUACGCGAGGAACCUUACCUAGACUUGAACGCAGUUGGAAUAUAACAGAAAUGUUAUAGCCGCAAGGCCGAUUGCGAGGUGCUGCAUGGUUGUCGUCAGCUCGUGCCGUGAGGUGUUAGGUUAAGUCCUGCAACGAGCGCAACCCUUACUGUUAGUUACCAGCAUGUAAAGAUGGGGACUCUGACAGAACUGCCCACGCAAGUGCGGAGGAAGGUGGGGAUGACGUCAAAUCAGCACGGCCCUUACGUCUAGGGCGACACACGUGCUACAAUGGGCGGUACAGAGGGCAGCUACUAUGUGAAUAGAUGCUAAUCUCAAAAGCCGUUCUCAGUUCGGAUCGGAGUCUGCAACCCGACUCCGUGAAGUUGGAUUCGCUAGUAAUCGCGUAUCAGCCAUGACGCGGUGAAUACGUUCCCGGGCCUUGUACACACCGCCCGUCAAGCCAUGGAAGUUCGGAGCGCCUAAAGUACGUAACCGUAAGGAGCGUCCUAGGGUGAAACGAGUAACUGGGGCUAAGUCGUAACAAGGUAGCCGUAAAUCGA
rnacentral:rRNA from 1 species